rnacentral:rRNA from 1 species
CCUACGGGUGGCAGCAGUGGGGAAUAUUGCGCAAUGGGGGAAACCCUGACGCAGCAACGCCGCGUGAGUGAAGACGUAUCUCGGUAUGUAAAGCUCUAUCAGCGGGGAAGAAGGAAGACGGUACCCGACUAAGAAGCCCCGGCUAACUACGUGCCAGCAGCCGCGGUAAUACGUAGGGGGCAAGCGUUAUCCGGAUUUACUGGGUGUAAAGGGAGCGUAGACGGCAGUGCAAGUCUGGAGUGAAAGGCGGGGGCUCAACCCCCGGACUGCUCUGGAAACUGUACGGCUGGAGUGCAGGAGAGGUAAGUGGAAUUCCUAGUGUAGCGGUGAAAUGCGUAGAUAUUAGGAGGAACACCAGUGGCGAAGGCGGCUUACUGGACUGUAACUGACGUUGAGGCUCGAAAGCGUGGGGAGCAAACAGGAUUAGAUACCCGGGUAGUC